rnacentral:rRNA from 1 species
UGGAAGAGUAAAUUUUUAAACUAUAAUUAUUAAUAGUUAAUAUCUUUAAAAUUAAAGAUUUUGGCGGUAUUUUAGUCUUUUCAGAGGAACCUGUUUAUUAAUCGAUAGUCCACGAUUUAUUUUACUUUAGUUUUAAAUUUACAUAUCGUUGUAAAAUAAAUAUUUUUAUAGGAUUUAAAUGUUUGAGAUUUAUUAUUAUAUAUUAAUUCAGAUCAAGGUGUAGUUUAUAUUAAAGUUUAAAUGGGUUACAUUAUAUUUAUAUUUGGUUUNUAUAACUGAAAAUUAUUAAAUAAAUUGGAUUUGAGAGUAACUUUUAUAUUUAUAUAAAGUGAUUUAGCUCUAAAAUAUGC